rnacentral:pre_miRNA from 1 species
CAAGUACUCCCUCCAUCCGAAAAUACUUGUCAUCAAAAUGGAUAAAAAGAUGUAUCUAGAACUAAUAUACAUCUAGAUACAUCCCCUUUUAUUCAUUUUGAUGACAAGUAUUUCCGGACGGAGGGAGUACUAC